rnacentral:rRNA from 1 species
UACAGAGGGGGCAAGCGUUGUUCGGAAUUACUGGGCGUAAAGGGCGCGUAGGCGGCCUGUUAAGUCGAACGUGAAAUCCCCAGGCUCAACCUGGGAACUGCGUCCGAUACUGGCAGGCUUGAAUCCGGGAGAGGGAUGUGGAAUUCCAGGUGUAGCGGUGAAAUGCGUAGAUAUCUGGAGGAACACCGGUGGCGAAGGCGACAUCCUGGACCGGUAUUGACGCUGAGGCGCGAAAGCGUGGGGAGCAAACAGG